AAGCCCAAGGUGAUGCAUUCUUCCCUUAACAUUUCUAGAAAUGCACAGGACCUAUAUCUAGACAUAUCCUGAAGACAGUUCAUGAGGUUUUUGUAGUCCAUGUCACAAAUAAAAAGGCUAUGGAUGAUUCUGGUCUCUCCCUUCCUUGAUGAAUCAUGAAAGCAACAGAACGUGUUUUUUGGCUAAAGAACAGCAGCUUAGCACAAUGCCAAGUGAAAUCUAAAUGGAUACAAGAAGUUGCAUCUGGUAUUUUGUAAAUAAGAGACAGGUGGAGCCUCAAAGGCUCCCAAAAUAUGAUCCAAGAACAAAAGCAUGGCUUGUGUUCUCUCAAGAAAUUAGAAAUCAUGUGAUUAAUGGCAGCUUAUUUCUGGUGCUCUGACGUUGCUAAGGAAGAAGGGAUGUCCAGAAGCAGGGAACAAGAUAACCAGAGAGCAUACUGAAAAAGAAGGGAGAGACGGACAGCAGGAACAGCAGGGAGGCUCUGUGAGGUUAGGAGUGAGGCUGCCAGGUUACUGCCCACAACACGAGAGCUACGCAGGCACAAAGGAAUACACAGGCUGGAACUCGGCCCUAAUGAAGCACCUAAUGCUAAUAACAACACUGAAAAGGGAAGGAGUGAACAAAGGUUCAGCUACAGCAAGAAGGGCAUUUCACAUCUGGAAUUCAACAGUUACAAGAGCACUUGCCGCUUUGUCUAUGCCCAUUUCUUGAAGUGGGAACUUUGGGUUUGAAAUCUCUCAGACUGAAACUGGCCUCCAACCCAGCUCUCCCGCUGUUAAACAACAGCUUGGCUUGACUCCACCCCCUUACUG
rnacentral:lncRNA from 1 species